GCCUAACACAUGCAAGUCGAGCGGUAUUUCCCUUCGGGGAGAGAGAGCGGCGCACGGGUGAGUAACGCGUAUGCAACCUGCCUACAACAAGGGGAUAGCCCGUUGAAAGACGGAUUAAUACCCUAUGACACAGGGGUCCCGCAUGGGGAUAUUUGUUAAAGGUUUACCGGUUGUAGAUGGGCAUGCGUUCCAUUAGCUUGUUGGUAGGGUAACGGCCUACCAAGGCGACGAUGGAUAGGGGAACUGAGAGGUUUAUCCCCCACACUGGGACUGAGACACGGCCCAGACUCCUACGGGAGGCAGCAGUGAGGAAUAUUGGUCAAUGGACGCAAGUCUGAACCAGCCAAGUCGCGUGGAGGACGACGGCCCUACGGGUUGUAAACUCCUUUUGUGAGGGAAUAAAGUGGGUCACGCGUGGCCUUUUGCAUGUACCUUACGAAUAAGCAUCGGCUAACUCCGUGCCAGCAGCCGCGGUAAUACGGAGGAUGCGAGCGUUAUCCGGAUUUAUUGGGUUUAAAGGGUGCGCAGGCGGCGCGUUAAGUCGGCGGUGAAAUUUUGCGGCUCAACCGUAAAAGUGCCUUCGAUACUGGCGUGCUUGAGUGUGGAUGAAGUAGGCGGAAUUCGUGGUGUAGCGGUGAAAUGCAUAGAUAUCACGAAGAACCCCGAUUGCGCAGGCAGCUUACUAAACCAUAACUGACGCUCAUGCACGAAGGCGUGGGGAUCGAACAGGAUUAGAUACCCUGGUAGUCCACGCAGUAAACGAUGAUUACUGGCCGUUUGCGAUAUAAUGUAAGCGGCUGAGCGAAAGCGUUAAGUAAUCCACCUGGGGAGUACGUUCGCAAGAAUGAAACUCAAAGGAAUUGACGGGGGCCCGCACAAGCGGAGGAACAUGUGGUUUAAUUCGAGGCAACGCGAAGAACCUUACCCGGGCUUGACAUCACCGAAAGGAUCCAUGCUUACUGGAAACAGUAAGAUUAGGAAGACAGGUGUUGCAUGGCUGUCGUCAGCUCGUGUCGUGAGAUGUUGGGUUAAGUCCCGCAACGAGCGCAACCCUUAUCACCAGUUACCAUCGGUCCGGCCGGGGACUCUGGUGAAACUGCCGCCGACGAGGUGGAGGAAGGUGGGGAUGACGUCAAGUCAGCAUGGCCCUUACGUCCGGGGCUACACGCGUACUACAAUGGCUGGUACAAUGGGGAGCAAGACCGCAAGGUGGAGCGAAUCCUCAAAACCAGCCCCAGUUCAGAUUGGGGUCUGCAACCCGACCCCAUGAAGGCGGAAUCGCUAGUAAUCGUAGAUCAGCAUGCUACGGUGAAUACGUUCCCGGGCCUUGUACACACCGCCCGUCACAUGACCCGAGUCGUCUGCACCCGAAGCCGGUCACCCAACUCGCAAGAGAGGGAGCUGUCCACGGUGUGGAGGGUAAGGGGGAUGA
rnacentral:rRNA from 1 species